UUACGUAGCGAAUGGUCAAAAUGAAGGCUGUUUACUUCUUACUCGUAUGUCUCGUGUGCGUUAUUCGCUCAUUUGUGGACGGUAGAACGAUAUUCCCGUAUUUAUCGAGCGAUCAGUUUGACGACCGAUCUGUUUUCAGUGCGAACAAUGUUGUGGUUCACAGAACAAAACGUGGUAUCAUAAAUAAUGGAAAAUGCCCGUUAAAUUAUUAUGCCCUACCGUUGCCGAUCUUAUAUUGUGUCCCCUGUAAAAAGGAAUCUAGACAUCCAAGAGAGCGUUGCUGACCUACCUAGGCGACCUUGUGCGGUCGUUCCUUUGAAGUAUUCAAUAAUGACUAUUAAAUCAUUAUUAUGGAUAGAUUAGAUGAAAAAUGGUCGUGCAGAGCUUAAAUAAGGUUCUGUCUUUGAAAUUGCCGUUUUAUAUCAUACAUUUGUGGAUUCAACAUUUCAUUUAUUAGAGUAUAUUAGUCAUAUUUUCGAUGCACUUUUGCCAGUUAAAUAGGUAAUUAAUACCUCUGCUAUAGAACGGGGUCUGGAGUCAUGAAUUUAAAUAAUUUAAAAAUAUAUUUAAAUUAAGAAUUUUUAUUCGAAUAUAAGAUAUCGAUUUUCAUACUAGCCAGUAUUAUAAAUUGGCAAUUUCGUGAUACGGACCUAAUAAGUUAUAACCGAGUAACUUGAAGAACGAUUACGCUUAUGCUCAAAACAGUAACUGAAGCUUAAAUAUUACUUGUUAAAACUAUUUGUGCUUAUGGUAAUUUAACUAUUAUCAAAUAUAUAUAUUUUAGACAAGACAAUAAAAUAUACCGUGUCUAGUGCGAGUUUUUUUACUUAUUCGAUGACUGCGACGUGUAUGGAAUGAAAACAGUGCCAUCUAGUGGCAAUAAUCGGAAUUCCACUUUUGUAUAUUAUCGAAAACUCUCGUUGCAAUAUGUCUAUACUUUAAUUUUGUAAAAUUAAUUAUUUUCAUAAAAAGUCGUAUUAUUAAGGUUAUUAUUAACCACUGAUCAGAUUUUGAUAAAAUUUCGUAUGAAGCUAACUUCAACCCCAAGAAAGGAAUAAGCUACUUUUAAUAUAUACGUUAAGAAACUAAGGGUUGUAAGGUUUAUCGUAUCGAUAAAUCUUUUCACAUACCUACGUAGCAUUUGUCAAACUUUUUAUAAUAUAUAAACCGACUAAAUUUAAGAUGACUAUCAUGACUGACUGACACUUAAGGUGAUACUGGUAUAUUUAAUUUUGUAUCAAUUUAUAUUUCAAUAUUUUAGUUAUUGUUUUGAGACCCAUGUAAAUAAAUAGUUCUUAAUAUAGUUUAAUAUAUUUAUUGCCAUUUAAAUACACAUAAAUAAGGUUGAAACAUUGCUAAUAACCCUUUAAGUAUACAGACGAAAUAAAAAAAAAUUGUUCAUCCACUUUCAGAUAUCCAAAAAAUUUCAUUUUCAUUUUUUUUGUUCCAUCACACUAUACUAAUUGUUCGUAUUUAUAUAUACUUCAUCUCAGUACUGUAUAUUAAUAUGAUGUAAUACUACUAAAUGAAGAUAUUCUACCGUAAAACAGCAAUACUUGGUAUUGUUGUGUUCCGGUUUGUAGGGUGAGUGAGCCAGUGUAAUAACAGGCACAAGGGACAUAAUAUCUUAGAUUCCAAGGUUGGUGUCGCAUUGGCGAUGUAAGCAAUGAUUAAAAUUUCUUACAACGCCAAUGUAUAUGGGCGUUGGUGAACACUCGCCAUCAGGUGGCCCAAGUGCUCGUCCGCCUACCUAUACUAUAAAAUUAAAAAUAAAA